UACGGGAGGCAGCAGUGGGGAAUCUUGGACAAUGGGCGCAAGCCUGAUCCAGCAAUGCCGCGUGGGUGAAGACGGCCUGCAGGUUGUAAAGCCCUUUUGGCGGGGAAGAAAGCCCCGGGUUGAACAGACCCGGGGGGUGACGUUACCCGCUGAAGAAGCACCGGCCAACUCCGUGCCAGCAGCCGCGGUAAUACGGAGGGUGCGAGCGUUAAUCGGAAUUACUGGGCGUAAAGCGCGCGUAGGCGGUGGGUCAGGUCAGUUGUGAAAGCCCCGGGCUCAACCUGGGAACGGCAAUUGAGACUGACCGACUGGAGUGUAACAGAGGACCGUGGAAUUCCCGGUGUAGCAGUGAAAUGCGUAGAGAUGUGGAGGAACACCGAUGGCGAAGGCAGCCUCCUGGGCCAACACUGACGCUCAUGCACGAAAGCGUGGGGAGCAAACAGGAUUAGAUACCCUGGUAGUCCACGCCCUAAACGAUGUCAACUGGUUGUUGGGAAGGGAAACUUUCUUAGUAACGAAGCUAACGCGUGAAGUUGACCGCCUGGGGAGUACGGCCGCAAGGUUAAAACUCAAAGGAAUUGACGGGGA
rnacentral:rRNA from 1 species